CCUACGGGAGGCAGCAGUGAGGAAUAUUGGUCAAUGGACGAGAGUCUGAACCAGCCAAGUAGCGUGAAGGAUGACUGCCCUAUGGGUUGUAAACUUCUUUUAUAAAGGAAUAAAACGAGGCACGUGUGCCUUUUUGCAUGUACUUUAUGAAUAAGGAUCGGCUAACUCCGUGCCAGCAGCCGCGGUAAUACGGAGGAUCCGAGCGUUAUCCGGAUUUAUUGGGUGUAAAGGGAGCGUAGAUGGGUUGUUAAGUCAGUUGUGAAAGUUUGCGGCUCAACCGUAAAAUUGCAAUUGAUACUGGCAGUCUUGAGUACAGGUGAGGUAGGCGGAAUUCGUGGUGUAGCGGUGAAAUGCUUAGAUAUCACGAAGAACCCCGAUUGCGAAGGCAGCUUACUAAACUGUGACUGACAUUGAUGCUCGAAAGUGUGGGUAGCAAACAGGAUUAGAUACCCUUGUAGUC
rnacentral:rRNA from 1 species